CCCACUGGCUUCUCUGAGGAUAACAGAAUGUCACCCCCACGUCUCCUUUGAAAAUGCCUGGAUCCCUGAUCUAGAGAACUGGCUUAGAGCCCAGGCAGAAUGGAUUCACAAGAGGAAUUGGCUCCCAGCCAGGCAGCUGUUCAUCAAGGUCCACUUUACAGAAUGAUACUCACUGGAUGCUUGUGGGAAGCUAUGCAUCUCAGAGCCCUAACUAACUAA
rnacentral:lncRNA from 13 species